rnacentral:rRNA from 1 species
CGCCUCCUGCUACUUUAUAGGAGGUCCAGCCUGCCCAGUGAUAAAAUUAAACGGCCGCGGUACCCUAACCGUGCAAAGGUAGCGCAAUCACUUGUUCUUUAAAUGAGGACUAGUAUGAACGGCAUCACGAGGGUUACACUGUCUCCCUACUCUACUCAGUGAAACUGAUCUCCCCGUGAAGAAGCGGGGAUAAAAAUAUAAGACGAGAAGACCCCAUGGAGCUUAAAACUCAGUCUUACCUGCCACCUAAAAAAACCUAGAAACCACGCAGUACUAAUGACUAGUUUUCGGUUGGGGUGACCGCGGAGAAAAACAAAUCCUCCACGACGAAAGGACCUAUUUACCUAAUCCAAGAGCUACACCUCUAAGAAUCAACACAUUGACCAACUGAUCCAAUUUUUGAUCAGCGAACCAAGUUACCCUGGGGAUAACAGCGCAAUCCAUUUCAAGAGCUCAUAUCGACAAAUGGGUUUACGACCUCGAUGUUGGAUCAGGGUAUCCAAGUGGCGCAGCCGCUACUAACGGUUCGUUUGUUCAACGAUUAAAACCCU